UUUUAAAUUUUCAUCAUAAAUGUACAGAAAUUUAAUUUCUUUUUGCAUAUUGUGCUUGUAAUCUGUACAUUAAUUAACUCAUUUAUUAGUUCUAAUAGUUCUUUAGUGGAUUCUUUAGGAUUUUCUAUACACAAGAUAAUAUCAUCUUCAAAUAGAGAUAGUUUACUUCUUCCUUUUCAAUCAGAAUGCAUUUAAUCUCAUUUUCUUAUACUACUAUUUUUUUAUUUUGUGCUGUUAUUUUAUUAUUUUAUUUUAUUUUUGUUAUUUCAUGUUAUUGAUUUUGUUUUAUGUUAUUUUGGGAUUUUAUUUUAUUUAUGUUGCCCAGGCUGGUCUCAAACCCAUAAACUCAAGUGAUCCUCCCUCCAGAGUAGCUGGGAUUAUAGAUGUGAACCAGCACAUCUGGUCAAUCCUAAUUUUUUUUAUAAGUUAUAUUCCAUGUAUGUAUAACUUUGUUUUAUUUAUUCAUUUUUAUGUGGUGCUGAGGACCGAACCCAGUGCCUUAUAUGUGCUAGGCGAGUGCUCUUCCACUGAGCCACAACCUCAAUCCUAAUUUUUAAAAGUAAAUCCUAAUGCUCAUAUUUUGGUUUGCUUAAAACAAAGUCAGAAGAGAAAAUAGGGGGAAAAAAGAAAACAAAGUUCAAUGUUAAGUACACCUCAUUAAAACUGCUUUUAAGAAAACAAUUUAACUUAUCUUAAAGCCAUCACACAGAGGGAAGGAAAGUAUUUAAUAUGCUAGUCCAUUUUCUUAUAAGUUUUUUUUCUAGGUGUCUAUUUGGAUGUUGAGCUAUAAAUAAAAUUGAACUCAUACUUUACAGGUAAUUUACAAUUCUAUUCUGGGAAACUUAUUGUUCAGUCAAGCCCUUUUCAGAAUUAAGACAAUUUAUGAAUGCCUUUAAAAAAAAAAAAAAAUCAUAGCCUCAUGGGAUGAGGGUAUUCUGGAGGGUUUGUGGGUAAGGCUGACCCCAACCCUGCUCAGUGACCCAUGGCCACCAGUAAUGGCACCCUGCCACAGAGCUUCCAACAGCCUUUCCACCCAUGAGGAGAGAAUGGUCCCUUCUGUGGGGUGAAAAUGAGGAUCCCACUGGCUUCCUGGAUUUCUUGGACUCUUUUAAAUAUUCAAAUACCCCUCAUGUCUGUUUUCUUCUGGUGUUCUUUAAUCCAUAGACGAGGGUCCAGAGGCUGUUGGAAAUGACCUUAAGGCCAGGGGCAUUAGAAUGUGGGAAGAUAAAACCCUGCCCACGACCUGGCUGGGGAGCUAUCACCUCUUCAAUCGCUGAUAGCCAGUCGCCCUGUGGUUUGCCAGGAAUGAACCUCUCCCUCUGCAUGAUCCUGGGCUGAUCUCCUCUGGCCCAUGAGGUAUGAAAAGCAAACCAAUCAGCUGUGGGAUAGAAAACAAUUUGUCCUGCCAGAUUUCUUUCUAGUAGGUUCUUUGUGUGGCUUGUUGGUGCUUUUGCAUGUCUCUCCAAUCAUUUGUGUGCUGUGCACAAGCACUCCCUAAAUGUUAUUUAGAUAGAUGUGACAUUAGCAUGUUUCCAUGUCAAUAAGAAUAAUUCCAUAAGUACAAAAUAUUACACUGUCUGGUUAUUAUUAUAAACAACCACUUCCCAGAAAGAUACUGGAAGCUCUUUGGAGAACACAGCACUAAGUUCUUAAUGUACUUCUUUGGAGAAUGCUGUGUGUCACCAGCACUGUUGACCAGAGUUACGGUUACACCCCAGCUUUCCAACAAGGACAAUCCACUGACAAUCUCUAGCACUUCACUGUCAGCAGCCAGACGUGGCCAGGACUGUCCAGCGUAUGGCCCUCUGUUGAGGUUCUUCCAUAAACCCCACAAAGUCUGAUAGGGUUGAGGCUACAGAAAAAAUUAGUUUUCCUAAUGUGGAUGUGUCAGGAGUCAGCAUUUAAGGAGAAAAAUUUUAAUUUUAAUGUCUAUCUUGAAAGAAGUCAAUGAGGCAGUUCCUAUCAGACACAGGUUGUUCACGGAUUGGGGAACUUGAGAAAGCACCAGGUGAGCCAGUGUGGACCCACCCAAGUACUGUACUCUAAAGAGGUCAACCUUGGACCCUCAGAAUGAAGGCCAGGGCAGGCACAGGAGCAGAAAUCUCUCUGUGUACCCAACAACUUCCUGAAGUCUUGUGGCAUUGCUUGUGUUUCUGAGGGUGCCUGGACAGACCCUCCACGGUUACAGCUCGCCAUUCUCUCACCUCUGCAAGCCACCUCUGCAGGGAGGUUGAGGAUCAUGCUCUCAACCUUGGGACACCAUCAUCACUGCCAGGGCAAGUAGCUCUCUCUUGCUUCUGCUUAUGGAUUCUCACUUGUCACCACACUCUUCUCCCUCCCCAGUGUGUUUGAGAUGUGUCCUCAGGUUUCCUUGUGUGUGCACGCGUAUUGUAAUUCAAGUGAACAGCGGUGGACAUUUGCCCUUCCUCACUGGUGGCUGUGCGUGGCCACGGUUCGUUACUCUUCAUGCCUCUACCGGUUUCACGUCAAGAAAACCAAAACCACAAGAGGACAAGCACUUCAGCAGUUUUAGCUGGUGCUGAUUUGUGGAGAUCCCAAGACCUAGGCAAAUGUUACCCAUGUUACCUCUGCAUGUGUCUCACAGAGAAUUAGUCUCCUCAGGGUGCAAAUAAUGUCAAUUGUUACCCGCUCUGGUUUAUUGUGAACUGGUUCCAGCUUUCACUCAUGAAGCUGGUAGGUAUUUAAAUCAGAUGCUUGAGCACUCUUCCUUUGGAUCCUACAAAAUCCCUGGAUCAUGGUGGGGGUCUCAGAGCUCUGAAGAGGUCCCCCAAGUGUUCAGACCUGGGGUCGCCAGGUCAGGGCAGGUACUCAGCAGCAUUCACAGGUCUCCCUCUACCAAGAAGGGAGCUCCAGGGCCACUCACACCCUCCACCUGGGGCCUGCCUGGGCCUCCACAGACCCCAAGGAGCAGCACCCAUCUUAUUCUCUUACCUUGCCGGCUUCCCUCAGCUUUCUGCUUGUUCUUCCCUGACUCUGGGGAGACAGAGGACAGUUUCGGGCUGCAGUCCCUUUUCAAGUCUCCAAUACACAGGGCAUUUGUUUUGCCUCUUUGUACCAUCAUAGGGAUUCAUCUUAAAACCACAAAGGCACCUACUUUUCUUUUCUGGCCAUAGCAAGAUAGGAUGAAGACCUUGAGAAUAGAAGCUGGGAUAUAGCUCAAAGGUAGGGUGCUUGCCUAAUUAUGCACGAGGCCCUCAGUUCAGUCUUAAACACCACAGAAACAAAACAUUAACCAAAGACUUUGGGAACAGUAAAUCUGUCUGUCUUCUGGAAGGGGGAAAUACCUUUCAUUCUUUUUUUUAAAAAAAUAUAUAAGUUGUAGUUGAACACAAUACCUUUAUUUUUAUUUAUGUGGUGCUGAGAAUCCAACCCAGGGCCUCGACAUACUACAAGCGCUGUACCGCUGAGCCGCAGCCCUCAAUCUUUCUUAAUAAGCCAUAAGCCCACUCUUUCCUCAUCCCACAAGAAUGAACAGAAGGACUUACACAGCACAGCACCCCUGGAGGAGCUGCAGGAGCUGUGGGUUCCUGGACCCAUGUGAGUGUUUUUGGAUUUUAAGAAGUAAAAAGACAUUUUUUUUUCCUUCUCAAUCAGUCACUCAACAUCCUGUGGCACUGAUAUUUAUUGAGCAUAUAGUGUACUCUUGAUGCUCUGCUAGGCAGCUAGCUAGAUACACUCACAUUUUAUCUUCACAACAAUGCUGUGAGAUAGAGAAAGUAGUCUCCAUUCUCCAAAUCAGGAACAUAAGACUUAAAAAAAAAAAAAUGUUAAGGAACUUGCUCCGGGUCGAGCAGUAGAGCCAAAACUGCCAUCUACCUGUGGCUUAGAGUUGAGGUUUAUGUAAAUACUCUGGGUUGAAAAGACCUUUAUAUAACCUCAUGCUUUUUAGAAAGUCACAUUCCAGCUGCAAAACCUUCCUCUGGCUAAAAGUAAGGAUGACUCAGCAAGCAAGCUUGGCCUCAUUGGGUUAUUCUGGCACCUUCUGCUUGCACAUACCCCUUCCCCAGGGGAUAUAUUCAAAACCUGGCUCUGCUAAAGCUCUGGGAAUUCAUCCUGUGGUUGUUUUGCCCUGUGCUGGCCUCCCUGUGCUUUCAGAAAAGCUUGACAAGGAGUUCAGUCACCAGAAACACCAGUCUCACUUUCAGGGAACAGGUUAUCGUGAGGCAUAGAACUUGCUGGUCAAGGGAAGGCUCUGGAAUUGGACCUCCAGCAAUGGGUAGCCAUGGGCCAUCUCCCACUGCUGACUCCGAUGCACCCACAAGAGAGACUCCCAGAGGCUGCUAAAGUGUCCUUGACCCGGUUAACUGGUAGAAGCAGGAAGCAUCUCCCCUACACUGUAUGUUUCCAUUCUAUGGAAAAUGACUCCAAAGGACAGCUCUGUCAGGGUUCUGCCACCCUAGCUGUCUUGUUUCUUCAUCAGAGGGACUUAGUGGCUGGGCCAGCUGCCUCUAACAUAAGGAAAUCAUUUCUAAUUGGUUGUUGUUUUUUGCAUAAAAGAUCUUUGAGCAGUAGGUGGGAAGAGGCGUUUCAGUCUGACAGAUGGAGAAACUGAGGCAAAGAGUAGAUGAAAAUUGUGCUUUUCACCAGACAGCAGGAGAGCAGAACGUGGUCUCAUGUUUAUUCCCCAGACUAGGUUUUUCCACCUGUGACUGCAAGGAUCUGCAUCAAGUUCAUGGCUCUCAAAAUUUAUUUUAACUUCUUAAACUUCAAAAACAAGGGCCUAGGAAUCCAGGGCUCCUGCAGCUGGAGCCCAGGAGGGCUGUGUGAAGGGCCUGGCACUGGAGCAGCACUGCCCCCUGGCGCCCAUGCGCAUGCAUUCCCAGCUCUCCCAAGAGUCUGGGUCCACACUUAACCUCCUCCUCGUUUUCUUCAGACUCACACGCUCCAUCUAAAUGGGAAGAAGUGGGUAGGCAGGGUACACCCUCCUAUGCCCAUAACCAGACUUCCUGCCACACAGUGCCAACAGGCUUUGAGAGCCAGAAUAACUCUGGUGAGAGGCCAUUGUGUGUGGUCACAACUCCAGAAGUUCUGUCCACAAGGGUCUGUCAAACCCAAGCUGAGAUUGUCUUGUUCCAGAGAGGUCCUCCAUCCACCAAGGACAGGGUCUGAGAAGGGGCUAGUGCUUCCUCUUUCAAAGUCACCAGGGAACUGAUGCCCCUGCCUCUUGUCCUUGACUACUUCCCAAAUGGGAGCCACUAUGGUGAUCUGCCUCCCGCCCCUUCCCUCCACACUGGUCACACCCUCAGCUUCCCCCUGAAGCAGUCCCACCCUCCCCAAGCACUUCCACAGUCCCCUCUGGCUGCCCUGCUCCCCUUUCCACAGUCAGCAAACUUCCCUGGGGCAGGCUGAAGGCUUCCACCUUCUGCUCUCCCUGGCUCUUCUCAGUCACCCAUGGGAGUGAGAAGUUGGUAAAAGAGGGAUGAGCCAUAUGCAGGCAGGGGGCGGGGUGGGGGGGCAGAUUGAGAUGCAUAAGCUGUUAAACCCUUAAAGAUAAGUACUGCCCACUCCCACCCAAUUCAAUAAUUACACAAUUUUAAACUGCAAACAAGUGCAAGUCCAACAAAACCCUGGUUUCCUGUGAUAAUAACUUAAUAUCUUCUUUUUUAAUUUCAAAAUUUAAUCUUUUUCGGUUUCAAAUUUUUGGAGACUUCAGCAGUGCAGGGCAAUGUGUCAGGCAAUGUGCUUGGGGGUCAUGAAGGGAGGUGGGUAUGAAAUGUGCUUUGAUGUGCAGACUGGUCCAGGUCAGGUGUCCAGGCCAGGUGGAGGCUGCCCUCCAUGAGCUUAUUGGGUUUGCCAUCAGCUCAACUCUGGCUCCUACUGGCAAGCCUACAAUGAAACCUUUCAACUGCCCUUGGCCUCAGAGAUAGAAUGGGAAGCAAAGAGUAAACUUAGUGUGUUCUUUUUUGUUUUUUUUACUGUUUUUUAUUAUGAUAAAAUUUGCCAUUUUAACCAGUUUUUUAGUGUACAAUUUAGCAGCAUUCAUUGCAUUCACAAUGUAGAGUCCUCACCAUUUCCCCCCAAGGUUUCCAUCCUCCCAAACAGAAACUCUGCCUAAGCAAUAAUUCCCUACCCAGCUUUAGCCCUUGUUAACCUCAAAUCUACCUCAUCUCUAUAAAUUUGCCUACUCUACAUAUUUUGCUUAAAAAAUGUUUUUAGUUGUAGAUGGACACAGUAUCUUUAUUUUAUUUAUUUUUAGGUAGUGCUGAUGAUCGAACCCAGUGCCCCACAAAUGGUAGGCGAGUGCUGUACCAGUGAGCUAUAACUCCAGCCCUACUCUAUAUAUUUCAUUUGUGCAAUCAUACAUUAAUUGUCUUUUUGUGUCUGGUUUCUUUCACUUUUAGAAUACUAUUUUCAAGGUUCAUGCAUGUUGCAACAUGUAUGGACCCUCAUUUUUUUUUUAAUACUGGGAAUUGAACUCAGGGGUGCUUUACUCCCAGCACUUUUUGUUGUUAUUUUGUUUUUAUUUUUUAUUUUGAGACAGGGUCUGCUAAGUUGCUGAUGAACUUGGGAUUCUUCUGUCUCAGCCUCCCUGUCACUGGAAUUAAAGGCAUGUAUCAUGGGGCUGGGCCCUCAUUUUUAAAAAAGGCUCAAUAAUAUUCUAUUGUAUGGAUAGACCACAUUUUGUUUAUCCACUCAUCCUUCGAUGGGCAGGUGGACUGCCCUUUGGCUAUGGUGAAUGGUGUCGCUGAGGUAUGUGAAGUCUCCUGUUCUGGUCCCUCCAGGCCUUCACUUUUUGUGGACCUAGCCUGGGAGUAGAAUUGCUGGGUCAUAUGAAAAUUCUACAUUUACCCUUUUAAGGAAUCAAAAUUAUCAGUUUUCCUUAUUCUUGGUCAUAUGUUCUGUUUUGACACUCAUUUUCUUUUAUGAUAUUCUUAAACCUCUUCCUUAAAUGUAUAUAUUUAUUUUUAAGGUCCUGAAAUACAUUUGAACUGAAAUAAAAUCUGACUGGGUGGUGCAGGAGGCACGCGCGGACCUCCUGUCCCCAUGGCCACCGCCUGCAUGACGCUCGAACCGCAGCCCGUGAGAAGUAGGGCAGGAGCUGUGAGACGAGAUAAGA
rnacentral:lncRNA from 1 species